UAGACGAUAACAUUAUCCUUUAUCCAUUGGAUUGGUGUAGCAAUGUUCAGAAUGCUCUCAAUAAGUAAUAAAGGCAAGCGCUAAUUGGAAAGGUUUAAACGGAAGAUGUAGCUUAAUGCAUGGCAUCAUGAUUAAUUGGAAAGGCAUGUGCACGAACUUGGUCAAAGCAAAAACAUUCAAUCUUCAUAUCUUGAAAUAUGAUGAUAAAUUUUGGUUGGUCAAUGGAUGUGUUAUUG
rnacentral:lncRNA from 1 species